CACAAUAUUAAACGGGUUCUUACUCAGUUGAAGUUCGCUUAUCUUUCUGAACCCUCAAACUGAACUUAAUUAUUCUAAGAGUUUCUUGUAUACAUAAUUAAAUCUCGGUUAGGAGUUUUAGGUACUCUAAGACUUUCUAAUAAAACUUUCCUAAUUUAAGUUUAUUUUCCCUGGUAUACAAUAUUCUCUUUUCAAAUGCCCGUAAUAAGAAAAUUUUUUCGUGGAAAAUUUGGGAUGGAUUAUUUUGCCUGAAUUGAGUCUGUGGUUAUGGGUCUGGAAUGUAAUGAGAAUUUUGUUUUUCAGUCUGGUCGUGGAGAAUUUGGGACUGACUAGUCUGAGCCUGUGUUGAUGGGUGUGGUCUUAUAGUUCUUGAUCCGAUUCUUUUCUAAAUUUUUUCCAGCGAGCCUAACAUUUUUUUUCAAAAUUCCCUCGUUUUUGAGACGUAUUUCUAGCAAGAAGUAGCUUAUUUUUGAAUCAUAUUUCUAACUAAAAAUUAUUUUUUUCGAGACAUAUAUAAUCAAAAAUAAUUGUAAUAUUUAAAAAGUUUUUAUAUGCUUUUAAUUCGCAUCUGGCCACCGUCCACUCAAAAGCCUACAAAGCUCGGAAAACUUAACAUGCUAAGAAUUUAAAACUGCGUAUAAAAGCUAAAAGAAAGUUAGGAUCAGACAUAGCUAUUCUAGCCACCUUAUCGCGCCCACUAACCGCGGAAAACUGUGGCGUUCAUAAUAUUAAUUUUUUAUUUUUUUUUUAACUUGUAUAUUAUUUUUAGCCAAUUUCUUACAAUGUACCAAAAAUGUUUUAGAUCUGAACUUUAUUAUGUAGGUUAUAAGGUUUCACAUGUACAGGGACGUAACCAUCAGCUGUUAAACAUACUUAUGUAUAUAUAUUUCUGCUGGUAAUUUUGAAUUUAGAUAAGACAGUUACGGGUAUCUUAUAGUCGCGGAAAUUGACUAAUGCGUUACUGGUUUUUCUGUGCAAGAAGUCAGGCCCUACAAAUUGUAUUUAACAAUAAUAUAAGUUAGCUUAGUUAACCGGACAAUAAGUCUGCGACGGAAUCUUUGCUGACCCAGCAUUGGACUGUUUACAUGCGAACAGACGGCUGACUGAUCAUAUUUGCGUUGCUACUCUAUAAAAAGCGGUUUUUGACGAAACCAAUACAAGUGAAAACCAAAUAAAAAUGUGUUGCUGGCUAAAGAGAAAAUCGACAAGCAUUGUGACACACAAACAAUUCAAAAACGAUACAAAAUGAAAACUUCGGAAAAGACAAAAGGGGCGGACCAAAGGCGGGAGUUAAUCUACCAGGAAAUCUGAAGGAAGUACAACUUCAACCUCCGGAGAGAUGCCAAAACAGUGUACAGCCUAGCUUCUUGCAAGCCAAAAACGUUAUCAGCAAAUCAUCUUGCACAAACAAAUAUCAACCACAAAGAGAAAUUAAAAUACCCAACAAAACCAAACACACGAAAAUCUCUAAUGCCGGCUCAAGCCCUUCAUUAGCUAUCAUGACGGACCCAAAAGACAUUUUCAAACGCUCAUCAUAAUCAUUCCCAAUUAGGCGACACAAAAUUUAUCAUAAUUAAAUGACUGAAUAUGAAUAUCACCAUUCAUAUUUAAAAAAUCCGUAGACUUUGUCAGUGGAGGAGAAGUCGACAGAUGCAAAAAAAUAAGAGACGGUACAUUUUUAAUAAAAACCAAAAAUGAAUUGCAAGCCAGAAAGCUUCUUAAACUUACAACAAUCGCGGAAAUCGAAGUUACAAUAAGUGAACACAAAACAUUGAGCUUCUCUAAGGGAGUUAUUUAUUGUAACGACCUUAGAUAUAUUGACAAAGACACAAUUCUACAAGAGCUAAAAGCACAAAAAGUGAGCGAAGUGAAAAAAUAAUGAAUCGAGAAAACAACUAUAACUCUGAGAAACAACACCACUUUGGUUGAAACAGGCUUGAUCAUAAUAACAUUUGAUACAUACAAAUUCCCAGAAUUAUUGCGAAUCGGUUACGAAACAGUUUCUGUACGUGGGUACAUCCCUCUACCACUCCGAUGCAGAAAAUGCUCCUAAUUGCUCAGAAAUAAAAUACACAAGCGACGGACAAACAUGCAAAAAUGAAAAAAAAUGCCUAAACUGCAAAAACAACCCUGAACUUGACCAUCAGCACAGCCUAAUCGACCGUAAAUGUAAACGUAAAUUAACAGCUAUUAAAACCACACAGAAAGUUGACCACAAAACGGCCCAACGUAUUUAUUGCGAAAGAGACGGAUUUCAAUUGAGGAACACCUAUGCCAAAACACUUACAAACACAAAACUCUUCAAGACCAUCAGCACUAAGAUUACGACAAACUAGAAGACAUGGAUACUGAUUGCAUAACACAUACCAGAAAACUAGCCACACCAUACUCGUCACAACUCACAGAAAACCUAUAAAUAAAAAUCUUCCCUGAAGAUAAAUUUAAUAACCUGACAACGAAUAUUAAAGCAUCUAAGACAAAGGCCAAAGCUCUAAACAAAAAAAAACACGUUAAUAACAGCGACAGCGAAUCCAUAUAGAAACUCAAACCCAAAAUAAGACUCAAACAUAAGCGUUAACAUUACCAAAGAAGUUAUGUUACAAGCUUUAGUUUUCACUUAAAUGUCAAUAAUAAUAUACCAACCCCAAUAAACUACAAACUAUUAACAAA